GAACUUAAGCAUAUCAAUAAGCGGAGGAAAAGAAACCAACAGGGAUCGCUUCAGUAACGGCGAGUGAAGCGGCAACAGUUCAAAUUUGAAAUCUGACUUCGCUUCCGAGUUGUAAUUUGUAGAGGAAGUCUCGGGACGAUACCGGUGUAAUUCCUNGGAACAGGACGUCAUAGAGGGUGAGACUCCCGUANGCGAAUGGUGGUCAACCCCAUGUGNNGCCCCUUAGAUGAGUCGAGUUGUUUGGGAAUGNAGCUCAAAAUGGGUGGUUCAUUUCAUNUAAAGAUACAUACUGGCCAGAGACCGAUAACGCACAAGUAGAUUGAUCGAAAGAUGAAACGCACUUUGGAAAGAGAGUNAAAAGUACGUGAAAUUGUUGAAAGGGAAGCGCUUACAACCAGANUUGUUCGCGGGUGAUCCGCCGUCUUUCGGGGCGGUAUAUUCUUCCGUNAUCAGGCCAACAUCGGUUUCNGCGGGUGGAAACAGGCCCCGGGAAAGUGGNUCUCUUCGGGGAGUGNUANAGCCCGNGGUNCAANGCNCCCAGCUGGACCGAGGACCGCGCUUCGGCNAGGAUGUUGGCGUAAU
rnacentral:rRNA from 1 species